rnacentral:rRNA from 1 species
UACGGAGGGUCCAAGCGUUAUCCGGAAUCAUUGGGUUUAAAGGGUCCGUAGGCGGUUUUGUAAGUCAGUGGUGAAAGCCCAUCGCUCAACGGUGGAACGGCCAUUGAUACUGCAAGACUUGAAUUAUUGGGAAGUAACUAGAAUAUGUAGUGUAGCGGUGGAAAUGCUUAGAGAUUACAUGGAAUACCAAUUGCGAAGGCAGGUUACUACCAAUAUAUUGACGCUGA